rnacentral:rRNA from 2 species
GCAUAUCAACUAAGCGGAGGAAAAAGAAACCAACAGGGGAUUGCCCCAGUAACGGCGAGUGAAGCGGCAACAGCUCAAAUUUGAAAUCUGGCCCCCAGGGCCCGAGUUGUAAUUUGUAGAGGAUGCUUUUGGCGCGGUGCCUUCCGAGUUCCCUGGAACGGGACGCCAUAGAGGGUGAGAGCCCCGUCUGGUUGGACACCUAGCCUCUGUAAAGCUCCUUCGACGAGUCGAGUAGUUUGGGAAUGCUGCUCUAAAUGGGAGGUAUAUGUCUUCUAAAGCUAAAUACCGGCCAGAGACCGAUAGCGCACAAGUAGAGUGAUCGAAAGAUGAAAAGCACUUUGAAAAGAGGGUUAAAUAGUACGUGAAAUUGUUGAAAGGGAAGCGUUUGUGACCAGACUUGGGCCCGGUUGAUCAUCCACCGUUCUCGGUGGUGCACUCUGCCGGCCCAGGCCAGCAUCAGUUCGCGCCGGGGGAUAAAGGCUUCGGGAAUGUGGCUCCUCCGGGAGUGUUAUAGCCCGUUGUGUAAUACCCUGGUGCGGACUGAGGUUCGCGCUCCGCAAGGAUGCUGGCGUAAUGGUCAUCAGCGACCCGUCUUGAAACACGGACCAAGGAGUCGUCUUCGUAUGCGAGUGUUCGGGUGUCAAACCCCUACGCGUAAUGAAAGUGAACGCAGGUGAGAGCUUCGGCGCAUCAUCGACCGAUCCUGAUGUUCUCGGAUGGAUUUGAGUAAGAGCAUACGGGGCCGGACCCGAAAGAAGGUGAACUAUGCCUGUAUAGGGUGAAGCCAGAGGAAACUCUGGUGGAGGCUCGCAGCGGUUCUGACGUGCAAAUCGAUCGUCAAAUAUGGGGCAUGGGGGCGAAAGACUAAUCGAAUCUUCUAGUAGCUGGG